CAUGGACAUCAAAACAGAAAAUUAAGUAAGAGGAUGUAUAUUAUGUUCAUUAUUUAUCUUUGUGCAGUAUGAUUUGAUGAAUUACAUUAUUGUCUAUAUCUUAUUUGUUAAUUCUCUUAUUAGGGUAAUUUGUCUAAUAUUCAUAUAAGUUACAAAAGCACAAGUUUUGGCUUAAAACAUUUUAAAAAUGUUCCAGGUACUUUAUCAUGGAUUGUUUGGAGUGAACGCUGACAAAUAAUGAAGCAAGGAAUGAAAAUGCUUGACCAAAACAAUUUUUGUACUUGGCUGUAAGAAGUCCUUUGUGUGUACAGACAUGACUGGAGAUUAAAGUUACUAAAUGUUGCUUUUUUCUAGCUGGUGACAUAACAUGAUAUUAUUUUCAAAUGUAUUUAUCUAAUACACAUUUGCACAUCUGUAAACAUUCAUUUUAUAUUGCAUGUUUUUAUAUUUAACCAGUUGUUGUAUAUUGCUAUCUGUUAUUACAUCUGUUUUUUUAUUGUCCGUUUAUUGUUUAAAACAAUUAAGUUAAUGUUUCUCUGUUAGCUUUUAUGUUACUUUGGCUAUUUCUUUGCUUUUAUUUGAUCCUUCUACUGUUAUUUGUUUAUUUGGCAGAACAUUUGACAUUUCAUUUAUUUGCUGUUAUCUGAAAUUUUUCUUGUCAGCAUCAAUAAAACUCUAUAUUUGCUUUA